AGGUGUCCUUUAUAAAGUCACAUAGCUGAUGAAUGGAAGAGGCAGGAAUCAAACCUACAUCUCUCUGGCUCCAAAGCCCUUACUGUUUGCUGAGGAUGGCAGUCAAGAAAUGAUCUACUAGAGUCAAGGUCAUAUAGCAUAUAGAUGAUCCAGAAUCAGCACAAUUUGGGGAGAAGAAAAAGAAUCAGCUCAUCUGGCUCCUUCUACUCACUCUGAUCCUCCUGCCUCCCUCUUAUAAAGACCCUUGUGAUGGCGUGAGGAGUGCCAGAGGCCAGGCAGCCCAGCUUUGUGAAUGCUCCGUGUGCCGCAGCCUGAAGGCACCCAGCCUGUGCCCUACCUGCUGCCAAGAUGCCCCAGGGGAAGAACUGUGGAGGAUUUUUCCCAGAUUUUCACUGUGAGAACCUGAAAGUAAAACCCAUAGAAGUGUGGGGAUCCCCUUACACUGCUACAUAAGAUUGUGACUUCCUUCUUACCAGAGACUCUCUCUUUUGCUUUCUUUGAUGAAGCAAGCUACCAUGCUGGAGACUCCCAUCUGGCAAAGUACUGUAGGUGACCUCUAGCCCUUAAGGAACUGAAUCCUGACA
rnacentral:lncRNA from 1 species